rnacentral:lncRNA from 1 species
CUAAUCCCUGCGCUUGUUCGUUUAGUCUUCUCUUGCCCUGUCGGUGUGUUUCUUUGCCCAUGACUGAAGAUGCAGAGUACCAGAGACAGCUGUCACUGGGAUUCCAUGAAGACAUUUUAUGUGCUUGUUCUGUCACCCACAUUUACCUUCUCAAUAGGAGUAACAUGGAAGAAGGUGCCAGAGCAACGGAGCAGUGAAGCAAGACGGGAACCCAGGGGUCUGCCCUGGAGUCUGCACCUGUGCUCCUGCUGCUCGACCUCUGUCCGCAGAGCAGUCUCGGAAGGGGAAGACGCCCUCAUUCUGAGAAUGAGUAGGAAAUGA